UAAACAAAACACCUCCCUCAGUCCCUGUUGUCUGACUACCUGAAGCACUCGGGAGUUAUCUCUACCAGUCUCCCUGCUAUGGUGCUCGCCAAACCUUUUGUUCUCAUUCAGUGUCAUGAGAUUCCUUUUAGAAAUUAAAAAAUCCCACCAUGGCAGAUGCAUUUUACUGAAUAAAUUGUUUGAAUUUGCUCAAGUCUGGGAAACUUGAGGUCACCUGUUAAUUUUUUGAAGGGGUAGGACUGACAACAGAUUCACCCAAGCUCAUUUCGCACUGUGAUGUUCCCAGCAGAGUCAAGGUUGGCCUCCACCAGCACGGCAUGGGCAGCACUGGUCUGUAGCAGGGCUCUGGUCCCUACAUUUGGUGUCUCUGUGCCCACUGCGGUUGCAGUGUCCAUCCUUCCCUUAUGGGACAGAAUGCAAAACACUGAAGGGGAUGCUGGAAAACAAGAUGUUUGUGCCAGGUUUUCUUGCACGCUGUUUUAUUUCUAGCAUUGUUGCUUUUGACACUCAAUGAAGUUAGAAAAUGUGAUCAGCUCACUGAGGAGGCCUCAAGUUUUAUUGUCUGCUUGGUGGGAAUAAGGAUGGUGCAUAAUUCCAUUGUUUUGAAAGCUCUAAUCUAGAAACCCAGACAAGCCUAUAUUUCUUUUAAACAAGUAUCUGAUUUAUUUUUAAGCAAUCCGAGUUAAAAAGGAACUAGGAUUGAAGUUAUACAGUCAUCAUUAAUGAAAUUUUAUAUGGAAUAGCAUUUCACAUACAAAAUAAUUAAGUCUCUGUGUUGAUAAAGGAUUAACCGAAUCUUUAGUAUUCCUUUCUGAAUGGCAGCUUCAGUCUUCAGAUAGAUUGCCUUUGAAGUCAAUAGGAGAAGCCACGUGUUCAUCAAAAUAUGGAAGUUAUCUUUGUCAUUAACCUUGAGAAGCUUCAUCGAUUACUGGCAAUCCAGUUUGACUUGAGAGGAGCCCUGUCACCAAGGUGAUCGUGCAGCUGGUUUUCCAAUGUUUCUAAUACUCACUAAAUUUCUAUGAGCUUUCUAUUGAACUCCUAUUUCUUCUGAUACUGGCUCAGCAAUUGGAUCACCCCCGUGGCCAUUUAAGUAUAAGAUAGUUAGCAAGCCUACAUUUUAGAUUAACUGUACAGCAAAACAGUGUUGCAUGUCAUCACACAAAAACAUUCCUGAGUGCUGAAGGGUUGGUUGGCUGUUCUUGCAGGCUGUUCUCCCUGGCAUUGAAACACCUGUGUGGGUGCAGUCAGACCUGUGGGAGGCUGUGAUAAUGGAUGACGAAUUAAGUCCGAAGUCUUCUUCCUGAAAUGGGGUUGGCUGGCUGAGCUCCUGGACGUCACAGCUCCCUCUGUACAGCCACAGAGAUAGUUGCCUGUAGCACCUCCAGCCCUACUGUCACAGCUUCAGAUGUCAUUUGUUUCCAAAUAACGAGGCACAUCCCGUUGUGAUGUUCUGAUCCAGCAAACAGCCUCCGCUCUUCUUGUUCACUGGGGAAUGUACAUGCCUUGUGGAAGCUACUGCAGCAACAUUGAAGAGAAGGGAGUUCUCACAAUUGAAGCCAGCAGCCCUAUUUGUCUCUUCUGCUGAAGGAAAGCUAAACAUGCAAAUCGGGCAGGCGGCUGAGGAUCGUAAAAGGACGAGCAGGGUGCAAUAUACACAGGGAGGAAAACAAAGAGAGAUGAGUCCUGACAGCAGAGAAAUUAUACCUGGCUUCAUGUGAGGGCACAGACCUGGCCCUGGCUGCCCCAAGAUCACUGCACACUGCCAGCCAAGCUGUUCUCAUGCUUAAUUUACAGCCUGCAAGGUUCAUGCACCACCUAAUGAAAAAUCGCGAUGGGAACUUUGCAGGAGAAAGUAGGACAGUUGGCACAUUAUUCACAUUUCAGCAGAGGAGGGGAGAGCUCCUUUUGCCUCGAGAACUGACCUCAUGGUGGUUUGACCUGCACAGAGGGCUGUCAUCGGGGCUUUAUGAUCAUUCCAAUUUGGAUUGUAACGUUAUGCUGAAAGUAACACUGGACUCUAUUAUCUUGCUUUGCCCUUUCCAUAAUUCAACGCCAUGUUUGCAGCAUAGCAGCAGUUCGAGGAGUUUGAGAAGUUUUGGUGGAGGUAGUCCAGCCUCGAUGCUGAGCAUUGCUCAGCAGCAUCGUUCACUCUGGAUACAUCUCACGUGUGGGAAAAACAAUAAGAAUUACCUCAAGAUUACUCAUGUCCUCAAUUAGAAAUUGUUUUUCUCCUGUGACUUGUGUUGUUGGUAGCUGAAAUGGCUGUUCACACUACAAGUGGCCUUUUAUUCACCUGCCUUCAAGCACCCAGAGGCACCAACCAACUCCUUCCCUCCUUCCAUGAGGUUCUCUCUCUCUCUGUGGCUGAUAUUACCAAACUGAUAUCUUUAUUCUCACUGAUUUCAGGUGAAGCUUCUUUCUCCCCGUGAGUACCCAUCAGUCACUUCUCCAUUCAAGAGGCAGAACAUUGCUACCCAGACCUGCAUCUAAAAAGUACGAUUUUCUUGACAACACCAGUUGUUUCUCGCAGUCCACGUUCAGAAGGUCCCAUGGACAGAAUUACACUUUAUCCACUUGAACUUUCAUAGUUUCCAGAAGUUCAUACGAUCUUUUCCAAACUCCCCAUGUUACACAAUUUCCUUGUUCUUUGGAGCAACCUCUCAGGCAGAAGGGUAUUACUAUAUCUAUAGCUGUAGUCCCAGGUAAUUGAAUUCUCCUCUUCCUCUACAAUUUGGCUCUGAAUCACGUUCUUUUUAAAUAAUAAAGUAAAAUACAAAAUAAACAUGACUACACAUAUCUGUUUUGUUUGACACAGGUCUCAGUAACAGAAAAUGGGAUUUUACUCUGCUAAUAAACUGGUAGAGUUUGCCCUUUCCUAUGAUGCACAUGUGCCUCAUAGGUGAAUUUAUCUCCCUGCAUCUUAGCACUUUAAAGCAGUAAUAAAAGAUGCUGAAGGCUCUGUGACUUAGGAAUAUGUCUAACUAAGAACAAUUUUCUCACAAACCAAUUUUCG
rnacentral:lncRNA from 1 species